rnacentral:rRNA from 1 species
AGGCACGAAAGCGUGGGGAGCAAACAGGAUUAGAUACCCUGGUAGUCCACGCCCUAAACGAUGAAUGCUAGUCGUCGGGGAGCUCGUCUCUUCGGUGAUGCACUUAACAGAUUAAGCAUUCCGCCUGGGAAGUACGGUCGCAAGAUUAAAACUCAAAGGAAUAGACGGGGACCCGCACAAGUGGUGGAGCAUGUGGUUUAAUUCGAAGAUACACGAAGAACCUUACCUGGCCUUGACAUGGUAGGAACCCUGUAGAGAUACGGGGGUGCUAGCUUGCUAGAACCUACACACAGGUGCUGCACGGCUGUCGUCAGCUCGUGUCGUGAGAUGUUGGGUUAAGUCCCGCAACGAGCGCAACCCUCGUCGUUAGUUGCUAACAGUUCGGCUGAGCACUCUAACGAGACUGCCUUCGUAAGGAGGAGGAAGGUGAGGACGACGUCAAGUCAUCAUGGCCCUUACGGCCAGGGCUACACACGUGCUACAAUGGGGUGUACAGAGAGUUGCAAUACCGCGAGGUGGAGCCAAUCUCUUAAAGCGUCUCUCAGUUCGGAUUGUUCUCUGCAACUCGGGAACAUGAAGCUGGAAUCACUAGUAAUCGUAGAUCAGCUAUGCUACGGUGAAUACGUUCCCGGGUCUUGUACUCACCGCCCGUCACACCAUGGGAGUUGAUUUCACCCGAAAUCGGGAUGCCAAACUGGCUACCGCUUACGGUGGAAUUAGCGACUGGGGUGAAGUCGUAACAAGGUAACC